rnacentral:lncRNA from 1 species
UCAAAACAUGAAUUCGAACUACAAUAUCCGGGUCACCAAUGAAUAAUAAUCAUAAAAGUGGCAAAUCUAAAACAUAAAAUAAAUUUUCUCUAAAAAUAAUACAUGUCAUUCAUACCAAACCACCGCUGAGUCUCCCAUUAAUCUGAAAAUAGUUAAAUAGGAGUGAGUAUCUCAAAGAAAUACUUAGCAGGCUACACGUGCUACAUGAACUUAAUAUUCAUACAUUUAAUCAUAUAUUCUUACAUGUUGUCUUCAUAAAUAAGUAAAUCAAUGAUCAAACGAUCUACCUAAAGUUCUGAUGAGCCUCUACGACCAUCAGUUUAACAUAUAUAUACUUAAAAUUCUGGUGAGCCCCUGCGGCCAUUAGUUUAAACAUGUAUAAACCUUUCUUUCAUCAAAAUUUAAGGGAAAUCUCUAAAGGCACUUUAUACUUCAUGUAAAUAUAACGAAUAACAUGCUUAUUUGAAAAUUAAAUCCAUGUAACGACAACUUCGCGUAGGAAUCCUACCUUAAUUCAUGGUGAUGACAUAGUCGUUGAAUCGAACUUUUAUUUUCCGACACUUUUCUAAAGACUAAAGGUGAAAUUGGAAAUUUUCCUUCUCUGCUAUAUUUCUUGGAGAUUCUCAAAAUUGGAAGCCCUGUCCC